CAUUAUGACUUCAAUCUCUAGAAUUCACAGGAUUGUUGCCGGGAGAGCAAAAUGACUGGAGCAUUUGACACAGGCUACAAUCUGCAAACUCAGUCCAAACUGUUUUGUGAUGUGGACAAUACAUCCAACUAUAUCAGAUAUUCGGCAGCAGCAAUUACAAGAAACAAAUGGGCCUGUAUCUGUGGGAUCAGGAUGCAUUCAACAUUCAUAAUCCAUUCCUGAUCUUUGUGGAAAUAAACAAAGAUACAGCACAUGAGAAAAGCAGGGGACCUUUAACCAGCACUUGCUACAGCAGGAAGACCAGAGAUUGUCACUUGGCUUGGCAGAGACUCCAGGAAGUGAGACUAGUGAGGAAGCUUGGCAAAAAGGACCUGGUGUGCCCUGACUGGAGGCUGUAGGCAUGGAGCGGCUGUGCCCAGACAGGCUGGGUUUCCUGUGAAACCGCUUAUACUGUAGAUGUAGCUUUCACUGGUGGGUGCUGAGAAGGAAAUGAAUAAAGAAGCUGUCAGUUAUCAA